GACGAACGCUGGCGGCGUGCUUAACACAUGCAAGUCGUACGGUAAGGCCCUUUCGGGGGUACACGAGUGGCGAACGGGUGAGUAACACGUGAGUAACCUGCCCACAACUUUGGGAUAACGCUAGGAAACUGGUGCUAAUACUGGAUAUGUGCUCCUGCUGCAUGGUGGGGGUUGGAAAGCUCCGGCGGUUGUGGAUGGACUCGCGGCCUAUCAGCUUGUUGGUGGGGUAGUGGCCUACCAAGGCGGCGACGGGUAGCCGGCCUGGGAGGGUGACCGGCCACAUUGGGACUGAGAUACGGCCCAGACUCCUACGGGAGGCAGCAGUGGGGAAUAUUGCACAAUGGGCGCAAGCCUGAUGCAGCAACGCCGCGGGCGGGAUGACGGCCUUCGGGUUGUAAACCGCUUUCAGCAGGGACGAAGCUUUUUGUGACGGUACCUGCAGAAGAAGCACCGGCUAACUACGUG
rnacentral:rRNA from 1 species